UACGGAGGGUGCGAGCGUUGUCCGGAAUCAUUGGGCAUAAAGGGCGCGUAGGUGGCCCGGUCAGUUCGUGGUGAAAGCGCGGGGCUCAACCCUGCGUCGGCCAUGAAUACUGCCGCGGCUGGAGCACUGUAGAGGCAGGCGGAAUUCCGGGUGUAGCGGUGGAAUGCGUAGAGUAUCAGGAGGAACACCGGUGGUGUAGACGGCUUUCUGGACCGUAACUGACGCUGAGACACGAAAGCGUGGGUAGCAAACAGG
rnacentral:rRNA from 1 species